UACAGGGGGGGCAAGCGUUGUUCGGAAUUACUGGGCGUAAAGGGUUCGUAGGUGGCCAACUAAGUCAGAUGUGAAAUCCCUCAGCUUAACUGGGGAACUGCUUCUGAUACUGGUUGGCUUGAGUGCAGGAGAGGAAUGCGGAAUUCCAGGUGUAGCGGUGAAAUGCGUAGAUAUCUGGAGGAACACCGGUGGCGAAGGCGGCAUUCUGGACUGUAACUGACACUGAGGAACGAAAGCCAGGGGAGCAAAC
rnacentral:rRNA from 1 species